UUACAAUAAGUAUAUUUAUAUAUUAAAUAUAUCUAAAAUUGUUAUAUAUGUAAUGUCGGGUUGGUUUGGUUUCGGUUUGACUUACUUUAGUUAAAACCAAACCAAACCAAUUAUGGUCGAAUUUUUUUCUCCAGCAUCAAACCAAGUCAAAUCAAACCAUAGUCGGAUUUUUUUUCUCGGUUUACUUGUAUCAUCGGGUUGGUGCGGUUUAUCGGUUUUCUUUGUACACCCCUAGUUGUUAUAUUUGUUUUAAUAAUGUAUCGUACUGUAUUUAUAUUAUAUUAUAUCAUAUCUUUUUGAUGAAUACAAUAUUUGAAUAAGUAGUAUCGUUUGACAUUAUUUUGAGAUGUCACGUACUAACAAUAUAAGGAAUAAACUUGUUGUAUUAUAAAGAAUAAUUAUGGUACGAGGUAAAAUUAUUAUAUAAAAAGAUAAGGUAAAAGUCAAAAUGACAGAAAAAGAUAAGGUAACGAUGCGAUUCCACCAAAUUGAUCGUUACAUAAAGUGUCAUUUCUUAUUGUUAUGUAAUAAUAAUUUAACGAUACGAUAUAAUAAUAAAAGUUAAGUAACAAUCGAAAUAAAUAUUAUAUUUAAAGUGAUAAUAAGAGAUAUAAUAGGUAACGACUCACAAACGUCCAAAAAAGUUGUUAAAGGUGGAAAGUUUUAAAAGAUUAUAUGUUAAAGGUCAAUUUGAUCACCUUUCAGAAUUAAAUUGGAUUAACAUAAUUUUCUAAAUCAAAUUUGGACAAUGUGUUCACGAUACUCGGUUUCUUUUCUUAUUAUUCUACAAAGUUUAUAAAAAUAAAAAACAAACAUGCAACUUGACCGUCUCUUGCUAAGAUGUGGCACCCACUCAGCCGAUUAUCUCAUGUCCUGCUUUUAUAUAUACUAGUUUCUCAGCAUAAACGUUGCCAAUUUACUCUAUUUCAAUAAGUAAUAUAUCUUUAAACAAUCACAUAAAUAUAAUAUUAAAAGUUUUGUUUGAGUUAGUUAGUAAAAGUUAAAAACAAAAGUAUGUAAGUACAAGAAAAUAAUAAUUGUUGCUUUUUAUUUAUCUAGUCUAAUAAAGGAAAAAACUCUACUGGAUAUGUCCUCAGUUAUCUCAAAUAUCAAUCGAGAUAUUCAACUUAAAAUUGUUCAGGUUUUUGUAUGAAUUUUCUUGAAAAAGUAUUUAUUCAUAAAUACACAAAUGGUCAAAUAAUAAAAUAUAAUUUGUCCAUUUUUUUAGUCUAUAAGAAGUUAUUUCAAAUAUAUUGAAGAGUAAAGCGUUAUUGCAAAAUAAAGCCUAGCUGUUACAUCUUGAUUAUUCUACUUUUUUACAUUUUGAGGAGAGAUUUCUUUCUCUGUUGGAAUACACAACCAUGCAAAAAGCAGUGCGAAAGCAGUGAAAAUAUGAAAAAUAUGUUUUCAUAUUUUGGAAAAUAUCCCGUGUGUGUGAAAAAUAGGAAAAAUAACUAACUCUUAUAAAUUAUUAAGUUUUCGUGUAUGUUUGUAUAUAAUUAAUUAUUAUUCAAAUUUGAUCUUUUUAAAAAUAAGCUUAGUUUGCUGCAAAAAAUAUUUUAAGUGUUUAUAUUUACUAAGACAUUUUUAAGAGAAAUAUAUUAUAAAAAUAGUCUGCCUAUUUCUUGAACUAGAUUAUGCUAUUUGUAUUAAAUGAUUCGUAUAAAAAUAUAUUUCGUAUUUUCAGGUUAUUCAUAAUUCUAGAUUUUUCAAUUUUUUUUGGUGGAAUAGAUUUUUCAAAGUUGAUUUCAUGUAAUACGUAACUUGAUUAUUCUAAGAAAAACAAAAAUUAAAUUAAAGAAAUGCUACGUCAAAUCACCAUAAUAUUACAAUAUAAUAGCAACUUUUACCUUCGUAUUUCUCUCACUUUCUUCAUAGAUAGAUAUAUUAUAAAACAAGAAAACGAUAAAAAAGGAAGAAGAGAUCUGGCAAACAACAUAUUGAAAUAAGCUUGU
rnacentral:lncRNA from 1 species